rnacentral:misc_RNA from 1 species
AACUGAUACUACCUGCGGGAACCUGCGGAGGGAUCAUUAUCGAGUUUACAACUCCCAAACCAUUGUGAAUCUUACCUUUUCGUUGCUUCGGCGGGAUCGCCCCGGGCGCUUCGGUGCCCCGGAUUCAGGCGCCCGCCGGGGGACCUAAACUCUUGUAUUAUAGUGGAUUUCUGAGUGGAUUACACAAAUAAUCAAAACUUUCAGCAACGGAUCUCU